UUGAAAGGGAAACGAUUGAAGUCAGUCGUACCUAUGGGUAAUCAGCCUUUUGGGUGUGAUUUUGUGGAGCGUGAUGAGUUAAACGCCUUCAUGCCUGCAUAUUCGUGCACUUUGGGUGUACUUGCCCUUGUGUAAGUUAACAUCAAUUUUGGUGGUCAUAAAAUGGCUGGAGGAAUGUAGCUUCGAUCUUGUAUUGAAGUGUUAUAGCCUUCGGUAGAUGUGACGAUCGGGAUUGAGGAUUGCAACGGAUACCCUUCGGGGCUACCUGUCUGAUCUCUGAUUGUUGCUCUGGUGCCGAAAGCUUGCUUACGGUUAUUAAAGUCGAUGGUCAAUAGGUUAGAAUGGGUUAAAUUCGUUAAG
rnacentral:rRNA from 1 species